rnacentral:tRNA from 1 species
GCCAGUCUGGUGUAUUGGUUUGAGUGUAGGACUACAACUCUGGAGUUCAGGGUUCGAUUCCCCAGUUUGGUA